rnacentral:rRNA from 1 species
UACGUAGGGGGCAAGCGUUGUCCGGAAUUACUGGGCGUAAAGGGCGCGUAGGCGGUUCGCUAAGUUGGAUGUGAAAACUCUGGGCUCAACCCAGAGCCUGCAUCCAAAACUGGCGGGCUAGAGUUCUGGAGGGGGUAGCGGAAUUCCUGGUGUAGCGGUGAAAUGCGUAGAUAUCAGGAGGAACACCGGUGGCGAAGGCGGCUACCUGGACAGAAACUGACGCUGAGGCGCGAAAGCUAGGGGAGCAAACAGG